ACACACGGGCUUCCUUCCCGGGUAGUUUUUGGUGAGGACGCCGGCAGCGGCGGGAGUCGCCCCUGAGCCUGCGCCGCUUCUUGCGUCCGGCUCUUCCUAGGGCGCCAGGUCUGUGCAAGCCCUGUCGCUCUUCCACGGAGGACACGGGAGGGAGCCCUGUCCUCAACCCCGUGCCGCCCCCUGAAGAGCUGGAAGCCGUGGCUCCUCCACCCCGUUGUGGCUUCGGGCGUCGUUUUCCCCAAAUUGGUGGUGUUCCGGUGAAACACUGAGGAACCGCGAAUCCCAGGCGUGUGAGGAACGAAAAGAUGAGUCGGUCUCUGAAGCGUCGGCUCAGGCAGCCCUCGUGAAAGGGAAGCCGGAUGCCAUGUUCUGAGGCUGCUUUGGCAACCAGCUAGUAAACAACACUUGAAGUUGGAAGUAGCGCUUUCUUGGCAGACACAUGAGAGACUCCAAGCCAGAACCAUCCAGCUGUGCUGUUCCCUGCUUCCUUACAAAAACUGAGAUCAGAUCCAGCCCCUACCAUGACAAGCGGAUACCAUUUGAAAUGUUUGGCCAACCACCUCCUUAUUCCUGUCAAGGGAAGGCCACAGAUUAUUGAACUGUCUAAUCAUCCCUUCCUCAAGUCCUUACAGGCACCAUAGCAGACAACUAGAGACACUCAGAGUCAUCUAUCACACCCACGGCCUGCACCACCCUUGACUGAACCAGCACACAGGUUUCCGACCUGGGGACUUGGUGUGGGUCUGCCACUUACCUGGCAAGACUCCGGGACCUUCCUAGAAGGGACGGUAUCCUGGGAUCCUGACAUUGCCGGGGGCCGUCAAGGUAGUGGGGACUGCAGCUUAUAGCCACACUCCCAUCUAAAGGUGGACACAACCAGCCACGAGAAAGUUGACAAAUGGAAGGUAAUACAAACUCCAGGUGUCCUCUCAGGGUGCGGCUCAUCUCACCUUGAACUCAGACUGACACUAACGUUGGGGAUCUUGGUAGGUCACUCCCAUAUGUGGCCAAAUAAAAGUGUUGAAGUCUGGGAUUGGGAACUGUCUCCAAAUGCAGAUAGGAAAGUAAGAGGCGUUUUCCGGAAUGCCACCUCCCAACCUAUGUUUAGAUCCGACCUGUGCGAUGUCUUGGAUAACAGUGAACUUAUGGGCGAAUGGGAGAGUUACAGUGCAGUUCACCCAGGGUGGGGGACCAAAAUGCCAGAAACAUCCUUCUGGUCUUCACCAUUGUAUGCAUGCCCAAGCCCAUGUUUUAUUGCCAUAAAUUUAUGUCAUUUUAUUUAUUCAUUCAUUCAUUUAUUUAUUUAUUGUCAUUCGUGGAAAAGAGAUUAUCAUUGCUCUACCCCAGGCUGUGAGACUGAGUCUGACCAGGGCGGACAUGAAGACCAGUUUAUCUCCAGUCAACAGGUAUAUCCUUCUCAGGAUUUGCAGACCCGGGACCUGCAACCCCUUCACUUUAAAGAUCAUGACCUGGAAUGAAUUGAGCUCAAAAUACUGGCUUCCAGGCCGGACCUGGGGAUUUGUGCUUAAAUUUAAGAAAACUAAGAAACAGUCCUGGUAUAGAAUUCACUCUACGGAAAAGGGUACCAUCCCACCUAGCCAAUCCUGUAGGCCCUGGAAGGAACUGGCUGCCUCUACCAGGGACUGGUUGUCUCCUUUCUCUGUCCUCCCUUCUUAGGCCACUCCACCCAUGGUAGUAAAUGAAUCCACAAUCACAAUCAAGGGGCUACAGUAACAGACUCAGUCUCAGCCCUGCUGCAGAAUGGACUUCAAGUUUUAUCCCCUGAUGAUGCCCCUGAGCUCAAGACCUUGAAGUUACUGCAUAAGUGGAUAAAUUAUACACACCCCAGCCUGGGAAGAGAUUGUUAGCUUUGUCUAGGUCCCAGGCCUCCUUUUUAUAUGGGUGUAGGGGUCAGUCAGUCUCUCUAUUAUCUCAGCUACUACCCUACCAGAGAAUUUAAAUUGUAAACAGAAAGGAGCUAAACUCAUCCUGGGAGAUUUCUAAGGAACAGGUACUCGGUGAAUCUCUUCCACUUAGAAUUACCCAGCUUCCCUUUAUAGCCAAGCCUGUAAUACUCUACAGUACGCCAGCUGGUCAGAACUUAUUAGAAUGUACUUCCCAUCCCCUUUAAGAACAUAGUGGGCCUGUACAUUCGAGCUACAAAUCCACAGAAAAAUUAAGUAAUUGCCUUUUAAAAACCCUUCCUUCAAUCCGUUUUUGGGUGGUAUGCCUUUGAUUUGGCUUUAAGACUGUCAACCUGCUAGCAAUUUAAAUAAACUGAUCUAAUUAUACUCUG